UGGAAACGUGGAUUAAUACCCCAUAAUAUCGUUUAGUUGCAUGAUUGAACGAUUAAAAUUACGAUGGCAUAAGAUGGGCAUGCGUCUGAUUAGCUGGUUGGUGAGGUAACGGCUCACCAAGGCGACGAUCAGUAGGGGUUCUGAGAGGAUUAUCCCCCACACUGGUACUGAGACACGGACCAGACUCCUACGGGAGGCAGCAGUGAGGAAUAUUGGUCAAUGGGCGCGAGCCUGAACCAGCCAUCCCGCGUGCAGGAUGACGGCCCUAUGGGUUGUAAACUGCUUUUCUACGCCAAGAAACUUCCCGACGCGUCGGGGACUGCCGGUAGCGUAGGAAUAAGCAUCGGCUAACUCCGUGCCAGCAGCCGCGGUAAUACGGAGGAUGCAAGCGUUAUCCGGAUUCAUUGGGUUUAAAGGGUGCGCAGGCGGGGAUGUAAGUCAGUGGUGAAAUACUGCCGCUUAACGGUAGAAUUGCCAUUGAUACUGCAUUUCUUGAGUGUGGUUGAGGUAGGCGGAAUGUGCAGUGUAGCGGUGAAAUGCAUAGAGAUUGCACAGAACACCGAUUGCGGAGGCAGCUUACUAAGCCAUAACUGACGCUGAGGCACGAAAGCGUGGGGAGCGAACAGGAUUAGAUACCCUGGUAGUCCACGCCGUAAACGAUGUUCACUCGCUGUUUGCGAUACACAGUAAGCGGCUUAGCGAAAGCAUUAAGUGAACCACCUGGGGAGUACGAUCGCAAGGUUGAAACUCAAAGGAAUUGACGGGGGCCCGCACAAGCGGAGGAACAUGUGGUUUAAUUCGAUGAUACGCGAGGAACCUUACCUGGGCUUAAAUGUAGAGUGCAUUCGGGCGAAAGUCUGAUUUCCUUCGGGACUCUUUACAAGGUGCUGCAUGGUUGUCGUCAGCUCGUGCCGUGAGGUGUCGGGUUAAGUCCCAUAACGAGCGCAACCCUUACCGUUAGUUGCCAACAGGUUAAGCUGGGGACUCUAGCGGGACUGCCACCGUAAGGUGAGAGGAAGGUGGGGAUGACGUCAAAUCAGCACGGCCCUUAUGUCCAGGGCUACACACGUGUUACAAUGGCCGGUACAGAGGGAAGCUACCUGGCAACAGGAUGCCAAUCCCGAAAGCCGGUCCCAGUUCGGAUUGGAGUCUGCAACCCGACUCCAUGAAGUUGGAUUCGCUAGU
rnacentral:rRNA from 1 species